GACGAACGCUGGCGGCGUGCUUAACACAUGCAAGUCGAACGGAAAGGCCCUGCUUGCAGGGUGCUCGAGUGGCGAACGGGUGAGUAACACGUGGGUGAUCUGCCCCUUACUUUGGGAUAAGCCUGGGAAACUGGGUCUAAUACUGGAUAGGACCAUGCUGUAUGUGUUGUGGUGGAAAGAUUAGUUUCGGUAAGGGAUGAGCUCGCGGCCUAUCAGCUUGUUGUUGGGGUAAUGGCCUACCAAGGCGUCGACGGGUAGCCGGCCUGAGAGGGUGGACGGCCACAUUGGGACUGAGAUACGGCCGAGACUACUACGGGAGGCAGCAGUGGGGAAUAAUGCACAAUGGGCGCAAGCCUGAUGCAGCGACGCCGCGUGGGGGAUGACGGCCUUCGGGUUGUAAACUCCUUUCAGCCAUGACGAAGCCCUUGUGGUGACGGUAGUGGUAGAAGAAGCACCGGCUAACUACGUG
rnacentral:rRNA from 1 species